rnacentral:rRNA from 1 species
GAUGAACGCUGGCGGCGUGCCUAAUACAUGCAAGUCGAGCGAAGCGGGGACGGGUGAGUAACACGUGGAUAACCUCCUAUAAGACUGGGAUAACUUCGGGAAACCGGAGCUAAACCGGAUACUUAAAAAUGGUUCCGCGCUGCAUUAGCUAGUGGGUAAGGUAACGGCUAACAAAGGCAACGAUGAAUAGCCGACCUGAAAGGGUGAUCGGCCACACUGUAACUGAGACACGGUCCAGACUCCUACGGGAGGCAGCAGUAGGGAAUCUUCCGCAAUGGGCGAAAGCCUGACGGAGCAACGCCGCGUGAGUGAUGAAGGUCUUCGGAUCGUAAAACUCUGUUAUUAGGGAAGCGGUACCUAAUCAGAAAGCCACGGCUAACUACGUGCCAGCAGCCGCGGUAAUUC